CGAUACGGCAACGCGGAUUACAGCAUACCAAUUUUAAGAUUCGUAGCAAAAUCGAAUCUACGUCGGAUUACAGCCUAGGGGUGAUUAAUUUUGACGUUUCGAGAAAAUAAGAGGAAGCACCAAACAAAAAGCAUAUGCAAAUUACCACAAAGAACUAAAAAUUAGAAGAUUUUGACAACAUAAUAGACAAAGAAAAGAAGCAGGAUAAAAUUCUGAAAAUAAUUUGGUUGUACCGCGAACGGGAAGUAUUGUGGGAUAUGAACUGUUUUUCUUAUCGUCGCAACGACUUGAAGAAGGAGGCACUGGAAGAAAUCGCAAAUCAAUGCAAUAUGACGGAGGACUGCGUGAGAAGGAGGUUGAAGUCAUUGAGGAGCACAUACCUUACGGAAAAAAAGAAAGGUGGAGGGCAGAAAACGUUCGGGAUGCGAUGCCGCAAAUGUAACUGCCGUCAUUGUUCUCGUUUGAAGAGAUAACAUUUUUGGAUAGCUCAUAGCAUU